rnacentral:rRNA from 1 species
GAGUUUGAUCCUGGCUCAGGAUGAACGCUGGCGGCGUGCCUAACACAUGCAAGUCGAACGAGCAGCAAUGCUAGUGGCGAACGGGUGAGUAACACGUAGGAAUCUGCCUCAGAGUGGAGGAUACCCAGCCGAAAGGUUGGCUAAUACUCCAUAGUCCCGCAAGGGUAAAGCAGCAAUGCGCUUUGAGAGGAGCCUGCGUCCUAUCAGCUAGUUGGUGAGGUAAAAGCUUACCAAGGCUAUGACGGGUAGGGGGUGUGAGAGCAUGACCCCCCACAAUGGGACUGAGACACGGCCCAUACUCCUACGGGAGGCAGCAGUUGGGAAUUGUACACAAUGGGCGCAAGCCUGAUGUCGCGACGCCGCGUGGAGGAAGAAGGUUUUCGGAUCGUAAACUCCUUUUCCCAGGGAAGAUUGUGACGGUACCUGGGGAAUAA